CUUGUGCAUGGCACCUCUUCGAACCUCCUCGAUCAUCCAAACUUCUCUGAUAGUGAACUUCUACAUUCAUCCAUCGGGCUGCCCCAAAGGCCCUCUGGGACUCACUGUCUGCCAACCUUCUACAGCAACCAACCCCCUGAGUUUCUACCCCGAACUUCUUUUGGGCUUCGCCAGCAUCCGAGCUUCCCCGAUAAUGUGAUUUCUACGAUAACCAGACUCCACCCGAGUUUCUACGGUGGUCGACCACCCCUCGAAUCCUAAUCG
rnacentral:lncRNA from 1 species